GCGUGGGAGAAGGCUCGGCUGUAAUCUUGGGAGAGACGUCCUGAAUAGCACCGGUAACUCUGCCACGCCCGUACAGGUGCAGCUUGCCGGAUUUAUUGGGUUUAGCGUAGGAGUAAGUUGUUUAAAGCCGCCCUACGGCGGAGGACUGUUCUGAGAGGGGGGCGCGGAAUUGGUGUACGGUAAAUGCAUAAUACCAAGAACACCGUGCUAGGACCAGUGCGGGGAGCAAACAGGAUUAGAUACCCUGGUAGUCCGCACUGUAACGAUGUACUCGUGUCUGCGAGAAACCGAUAAGACACCUGGGGUCGCCGGCAACGGAAAAAGGAUGACGGGCGCAAGCGGUGGAUGGGUUAAUUCAUCAGAACUCGCUGAAGCGCGGUGAUGC
rnacentral:rRNA from 1 species